AGUUCACGUAACAUUCAAUCAAUUAUACCAUUGCUCUAUCUCUAAAGUUUUCUUUUUCUCCUUUUCUCAGUGUCUUACCAAGAAUGAAAGGCAACCUAUGUAAAAACUAUGGGCUUUCUAGUAUAAAUAAAAACUACUCAUCUCCAGAAAAUAAACAAUGACUGCUAAGAUGAUUGAAAAAAGAAAGGAGAAGAAAGUAGCUUGUAAAAGCGUGUGAAAUGCAUUCACGUUGGAAUCUCCUACAGGCACUUCAGGUCAAAGACUACCGAUGUCCAGAUCAUAAUGCGAGGACAGUUUGAGCCCAGUGCUCUCUGACUGAGGUAGAACCCCCGGGAAGGUGAAGAGGGCAGCCGUCUGCGAAACAGCCCAGCAUUUAAGAAUGGGCAGCACCUGGCCAGGUGCAUUUGAGAACUAGGAAUGUGGCAACAAUAACAUUUAUUUAUUUGGAUGAAGAGAAGAAGAUGUAUUGGAUUCCCUGAAACAAUCAUUGACCUGCCUGAAUCCCAACUGUUGCACUGACUCCACUAAUUCACCAAUCCACUUGAGCUGGGAGGAGAGCCCAUGCACAGAAGUUUAUGGAUAAACAGACCUGAACGUCUAGCAUGAUGUCAAAUUUAUAUGGCCACAGAACUACAAAAGGAAAUAACUAUAACCUCACUGACCACAGUGCUGCUGACACUUGGACAACAUGGGUUUGAGCUUCAUGGGUCCACUUAGACAAUAAUUUUUUCACUAACUAUAUUGGAAAUGUUUUUGGAAAUUUAUAACAGUUUGAAAAAUAUUGUAGACCAACAUGUAGCCUAGAAAUAUUAAAACAUUAAGAAGCAAGUAUGGCAUGAAUACAUAGAAUAUAUGUAGAUACUAUUCUAUUUUAUCAUUUACUACUAUAAAUAUAUGCAAAUCUAUUAAAUGAGGUUAACAUUUAUCAAAGCAUGUGGUCACAAACUCUUAUAGUUUGUACAUGGCACCAUUUACAGACAAGGAAAUAGAAGCCAAUGUAAAAAUGCAGUAUUAAGUCAUAACCGCAUAAAAGUAACUGUGGCACAUACUGCACUACCAUGAUAAUUUCACAGGCACCUCCCACUGCUAUUGUGGUGAGCCCACGUGUUGUGAGCUUCCGCAUAAAGCCCUGCAAUUCUGAUCAUUGCCACGUGGGCAGUUUGUGUCUCUAGUUAGUUGUGUACUGUAGUAAAAAGUGAUCUCGCAGUUCUUGCAUAAUUUCCGUGUUUAGUGCGAUAUGGUAAACAUUGAAUAGCACCAUGAAACCCACACGAAGGGCCACUGGUGAUGUUGGAAGGCUCCCAAGAAGCAGAGAAAAUUCAUGACAUUACAAAAUCAGUCAAAUUUCUUCAUAUGCACUGUAGAUUGAGGUCUGCAGCUGGGGUUUCCCAUUGUUUUAAGAUAAAUGAAUCAGCCUAAAGAUCAUUGUAAAAAAAGAAAAAGAUAUUGGAGAGGCUAUAACUGCAGCUAUGCCAGCAACAGCAGUAGUUACAUUUCUGAAGAGACAAAAUUUGUCAGUGGGUUUUCAAGAGCUCAAGGGUAACACCCUAACCCCCACGUUGUUCAAGGGUCAACUGUAUUGCAGUCAAAAACAGAAAUUUAAAAAAAAAAUUCCUUCAAAAAAAUAAAAUUGUAUUACACACUUGCUAAUCCAAUUUUGACACACAAUUUUCUUCACCAUCAAUAUAAGAUAUGCUAUGCCAGGUUUCCUUAUUUGUAAUAAUUCAUGUAUUACUUAUAGUUUGCUUUAGAUAUGGUGGUUCUUUGUGUAAAAUGUAUUUGUUUAUUUUUAUUAUUUAUUUAUUUCUUAUUUUUCAUUUUUGAGACAGAGUCUCACUCUGUCGCCCAGGAUGGAGUGCAGCGGCAUGAUCUCAGCUCACUGCAAUCUCCUCCUCCUGGGUUCAAGUGAUUCUCCUGCCUCAGCCUCCUGAGUAGCUGAGAUUACAGGCAUGUGCCAUCAUGCCCAGCUAAUUUUUCUAUUUUUUUAAUAGAGACGGAGUUUCACCAUGUUGGCCAGGCUGGUCUUGAACUGACCUCAAGUGAUCUGCCCACCUCAGACUCCCAAAGUGCUGGGAUUACAGGUGUGAGCCACCAUACCUGGACUUCUUUGUGUAAAAUUUAAAUGCUUCUUUUUUUAGCUAAGAAACAUAAAACUUUCUAUUCAUAUUUUACCUUUUCUCCCUUUUUGCAAAUAUGUAUGAUACCUUAUUCUUGUGGUAGAAUGUUACACAUAGAAAUAAAAGAUUUAGUUAGCAACAGCAAACCUGAAAAUGGAUUAAUGAAAUAUUUAAGACAGGGCAAGCAAGUCCAUUUCCGAAUGAUGGGUGUUUGCAUUUAUCCAGUGGAGCUGCUGUUCAUGGAGACACAGCAGCAUCCCCCGAGAAGGCUGAUAGCCCUGGCUUCCCUUCCCUUCAGGGGCAGGAGAAAGCUGAGCCUCUGGUGCUGUGUUUGACAACACAGACACAGCUUGGAGGUCUUGCGGGCUUGGUUCCAGACCCCUGCAGUAAAGUAAAUAUUAAAUAAAGCAAGUUUUACACAGGUAUUUGGGUUUCCCAGUGCAUGUAAAAGUUAGGCUUACACUAUACUAUAGUCUAUUAACUGUGCAUUGGCAUGAUGUCUAAAAAAUGUACAUAGUUAACUAAAAAUAUUUUAUUGCUAAAAAUGGUAACAAUCAGUAGUGAAUUUUUUCCAGAUGUUUUCAAUUUACUUUGCCCAGACCCAUCAGAGGAAUCAUUAUCUGUGGCAGUUUUAACCAUAUCACAAGUAUUUCUUAAGUAGUAAAACUUAAAAGUCAACAUUACUCUUUGAUCCAUGGGCUGCAGAAUGGGUGUUGUGUUUGCAGACAUGAAACAGUAUUAAUCUUCUUGCACAUCUCCAUCAGACCUCUUGGGUCACCAGUGGUACUGUUAAGGACCACUAAUAUUUUUAAAAGAAUCUUUCUUUUUUUUUCUUCCUGAGCAGUAGGUCUCAACAGUGGGCUUAAAGUGUCUAGUAAACCAUGCUGUGGACAGAUGUGCUGUCACCCAGGCAUUUAUAACGCACAAGGCAGAUUAGGUUCAGUACAAUUCUUAAGGGCCCUAAGACUUUUGGAAUGGAAAAUGAGCACUGGCUUCAAUUUACGGUCACAAGCUGCAUUAACUCCUACUAAAUGAGCUAGCGUGUUAUUUGAAUCUUUGAAGUCAGGCAUUGGACUUCUGUCUAGCUGUAAAAGUCCUCGAUGACGUCUGCUUCCAAAAGAAUGUUGCUUAAUCUACAUUGAAAAUGUAUUAUUUAGUGUAGCCACCUUCAUCAGUGAUCUUAGCUGGAUCUUCUGCACAAGUUGCUGCAGCUUCUCCAUCAGCACUUGCUGCUUCACCUUACACGUCAUGUUAUAGAGUUGGCUUAUUUCCUGAAACCUCAUGAACCAACCUGUGCUAGCUCCAAACUUUUCUUCUGUACCUUCCUAAUCUCUCUCAGCUUUCAUAGAAUUGAAAAGAGUUAGGACUUUGCUCUAGAUUCAGUUUUGGUUUAAGGAAAUGUGGUUGGUUUUAUGUUCUGUCUAGAAUGCUCACACUUUCUCCAUAUCAGCAAUAAGGCUGUUUUGCUUUUUUGUCAUGCAUGUGUUCACUGGAGUAACAUUUUUAAUUUCCUUUUAGAACUUCUUUGCAUUCACAGCUUGGCUAACUGCUUGGUGCAAGAUGCCUUGCUUUUUGUCUAUCUCUUCUUUUGACAUGCCUUCAUCACAAAGCUUAAUUCUUUCUAGCUUUUGUUUUAAAGUGAGAAAGGUACAACUUUUCUUUCAUUUGAACAUUUAGAGGCCAUCGUAGGGUCAUUAACGGGCCUAAUAUCAAUAUUAUUGUGUCUCAUGAAAUAGUGAGGCCUAAGCAGAGAGAGAGAGAGAGAGACGGGGGAAUGGCCAGUCAGUGGGGCAGUCAGAAAACAUGUAUUUAUCUAUUAAGUUUACAGUCUCAUAUGGGCACAGUUCAUGGUGCCCCAAAACAAGGUCAAUAGUAACAUAAAGAUACCGAUCACAGAGCCCCAUAGCAGAUACAAUAAAAAUAGAACCAUUUGAAAUAUUAUGAGAAUUACCAAAAUGUGACAGAGGUAGAAAGUGAACACAUGCUGCUGGAAAAAUGAUGUCAAUUGAUGAGCUUAAUGCCGGUUGCCACAUACCCUCAGUUUGUAAAAAACACAUUAUCUGCAAAGUGAAAUCAACUGAAGUGCAGUAAAAUGAGGUGUGCUUCUACUUUGUCUCGAGAAGUUUUAUUUAAGGCAUCCAGGACCUGGUGCACCAACUUCCAGGACUCCCCAAGUCCAUUCAUCUUCUCUCCCGAGCAUAGCUCUCCCAGCACCCUUCUGCCACCCCUGGAGAGCCCUUCACAGAGCCGGACAGGGGACCUGGGGUCUAGCACGAACAGGUUCAGCAGCCCUGGCUCGCCCACCCCUUCGAGGUAAUACAACCUCCCCGGGGGUUCCUCCACUCUAUGGGGCAGAGCCAGGCCAUCAGUCUCUGUGCAAAAGUCAAAAUAUUGACCAUACUGCAUUGAAAUUUUUUUUAUAAAAGAAACUUUGGGAUGUAAGUUUUUUUUUUAAAAAAAAAAAGAAAGAAAAAACACUUGGUGUGGAGAAUGAAACUAAUAUCAGCCACUUACUAUGCCAAGCUUAGUGCUAAAUGUUCCACUGACAUAUUUUAUGUAUGUUAGCAAUAAAAGAAAAGGCAAAGCUUGAAAUGUUUUUCAUUUCUAUCUACACUCCAUGUGUGUCUCAUUUUAUAAUAAAAAUCAUGCUGACAAGUAGCAGAGUAUCUCAAUAAA
rnacentral:lncRNA from 1 species